rnacentral:rRNA from 1 species
UACAGAGGGGGCAAGCGUUAUUCGGAAUUAUUGGGCGUAAAGGGCGCGUAGGCGGCCUGAUAAGUCAAGGGUGAAAUCCCUCGGCUCAACCGAGGAGCUGCCUUUGAUACUGUCAGGCUCGAGGCCGGAAGAGGGUAGCGGAAUUCCCAGUGUAGCGGUGAAAUGCGUAGAUAUUGGGAGGAACACCGGUGGCGAAGGCGGCUACCUGGGCCGGUUCUGACGCUGAUGCGCGAAAGCGUGGGGAGCAAACAGG